rnacentral:lncRNA from 1 species
ACCCCAUCCACAGGCCGAAGAGGGAAGUAAGAACACCGGUUUACGCCAAUGAACAACCCCAGUACAUCCGGUAGCGAUAAAAGGUCAGAGAAAGAGCAAAAGAAGAGGUUUGAGAUGAUCCCUGGUCGAAGAAGGCAUUUAGUAACUAAUCAAUAGUAAGGGAUCAUGAGGGAUUUCAAGUCACCUUUUCAUUCAGAGUGAAUCUAUAAAAAGAAGGAACCCUUUCUUUACUGAAAAGGCUAUUGCAUGAGAAAGAGCUUUAGUAUGAGUCCCACACAUCUAGAAGUUGAAACAUCUGAUUCUAGUCCAUCUACUUCUGAUUCUAUUGAUUUUUGUGCUAUAUGCGGAAGUCGGACUCGGGAACAACUUCUGGUUUACUGAAUCCAAUACCUGUAGUGCCUCACUUGACGAAGCACCACAUUGCAUUCUUUUCUUCUCGAAUACAAUGCUUGC